rnacentral:rRNA from 1 species
GACGAACGCUGGCGGCGUGCUUAACACAUGCAAGUCGAACGGAAAGGCCCUGCUUUUGUGGGGUGCUCGAGUGGCGAACGGGUCAGUAACACGUGAGUAACCUGCCCUUGACUUUGGGAUAACUUCAGGAAACUGGGGCUAAUACCGGAUAGGAGCUCCUGCUGCAUGGUGGGGGUUGGAAAGUUUCGGCGGUUGGGGAUGGACUCGCGGCUUAUCAGCUUGUUGGUGGGGUAGUGGCUUACCAAGGCUUUGACGGGUAGCCGGCCUGAGAGGGUGACCGGCCACAUUGGGACUGAGAUACGGCCCAGACUCCUACGGGAGGCAGCAGUGGGGAAUAUUGCACAAUGGGCGGAAGCCUGAUGCAGCAACGCCGCGUGCGGGAUGACGGCCUUCGGGCUGUAAACCGCUUUCGCCUGUGACGAAGCGUGAGUGACGGUAAUGGGUAAAGAAGCACCGGCUAACUACGUG